rnacentral:lncRNA from 1 species
CCCGCGCCGCGUGAGGGCGGCUGGCGGGACGGCAGACAGGGGUGUGGCGGCGACUUGUCCUCCGAGGAGCCUGCAUUUAAACCCUUCCUGCCUCACUCUUCCUUUUUCCUGUUUGUCCUGCCGCUUUAAACUCUGGUUUCGCCUUCCUGUUCAUUCCAUUGCUUAUUUUAGGUCGCAAGUGCUUUAUCCACUGCUUUGAGUUUUUGACUGGAAAACCCAUAAUAUAAUCAGUCAAAACCCACACGUUGAAACACCAUAAAGUCACCCAGUCUCGGUCACCCUGGCACACACGGGGUUGUGAUCGUGACCUAGUCAUGUUUCUGACUCCGCUCAAUGGAAUGGAAUGAUUUUCUUUGGCUGUGCUGAGGUUAAUAUUGGAGGCAUAAACCCUCCGAGAAGGUAGAUGAAAAGGAGCGCGAUUCACUUCCUCCUGUUUAACAGGAAUGUGAGGACAGGUCUGGAAAAUACCCUGGCACCAGUUAACAGGUUUAAAAGGGAGUUUCAUUCAUAUAAAUGAUCAAGAUUGUGACUGGCAUAUACAGUGGAAAAGGAAGAAGGGCAAGUGUUUUACUAUAAUUUGGAACCUGAACACCUAAGUUACAAAGGCAGAAGAUCUGGCAGCUUCAACACACUUGUUUCAUUACCUUCACACCCAGGGAGGGCAAGAAGCAACA